GUCACUUCGGGGACAUCCGGUAGAAUUGAAAUGACACAGAGAAAAUUAGCAUAGCUCAUGCGCAAGAAUAAAAGGAAAAAAAGAAAAAAAAAGGAAUAU
rnacentral:snRNA from 1 species